rnacentral:rRNA from 1 species
CGUCAGCUCGUGUCGUGAGAUGUUGGUUAAGUCCCGCAACGAGCGCAACCCCUAUUGUUAGUUGCCAUCAUUCAGUUGGGCACUCUAGCGAGACUGCCGGUAAUAAACCGGAGGAAGGUGGGGAUGACGUCAAAUCAUCAUGCCCCUUAUGACCUGGGCUACACACGUGCUACAAUGGUUGGUACAACGAGUUGCGAGUCGGUGACGGCGAGCUAAUCUCUUAAAGCCAAUCUCAGUUCGGAUUGUAGGCUGCAACUCGCCUACAUGAAGUCGGAAUCGCUAGUAAUCGCGGAUCAGCACGCCGCGGUGAAUACGUUCCCGGGCCUU